AGACUGCAUUUUGCCUUGCUUUUCCUUCUCCCUUUCUCUCUCUUUCUUUCUUUCUUUCUUUCUUUCUUUCUUUCUUUCUUUCUUUCUUUCUUUCUUUCUUUCUUUCUUUCUUUUUCUUUCUCUCUCUCUCUCUCUUUCUUUCUUUCCUUUCUUUUCUUUCUUUCCUCUUUCUCUUUCCUUCUUUCUUUUUUUCUUCUUUCUUUCCUUCCUUCCUUCCAUCUUUCUUUUCUUUCUUUCCAUUUUUUUUUUCCUCCAGAAGAAUGGAAACAGUAUUCUUUUCCGAUCAGUUCAGUAAUACAAUGUCCUUCAGUGUCCAUAUGAGCAUUUCAGUGGAGAAGAAAAGAAACUUUGCUACCUGGGAACUGAAGACUACUUAGUGAAGAUCCCGGUGUUACACAUCCAAUCGUUCACCUCCUUCCAAGACUAUGACAUUCCAGGAAACCUUCACUGCUAAGAGGAACUAAGAUCUAGAGUAUCUCCUCGAGGAAGUACAACUGCAUUAUAAAUUAAGGAGGAAUAGUAACAAAGAGCUUGAAGACAUGCACAGCUCACAGGCCCCGGGUGGAGGCUGGCGACAUCAGACAGACAGAACCAAGACAUCUGAGGGGCAACCAGGAGGUGCGUGUGGCUGCAGAGCACACAGACUUGUCUUUGGACAAAAUUGAGAAGAACUCAUAAACUUGGCUUCCUCGCUUCUGCUCCUCAGACGCGCGUGGAUGAUUUGAAGAUAUUAGCCUAACAAGAUGGAAGCAGGUUUAAAAUUUUACAUAAGAAGUUACCUUUUUCAGGUAAUGGUGUUUUUCUGUAAUUUUCCCAAACCUUUCGCUUCCUCAAGUAUUGCAAAUUUUUAGGGCAUGCUUGAAUGAUUUAAUUAUGAAGAAUAACUACAUUUUAAACUUAAUUUUUUAAAAAAGAAACCAGUUUUAUAAUUUUCCUAGCCAAGGAGUAGAGCAGGCAUGACAUUCAACUCUAUGGAGUUUGGAAAAUUUUUAGAAAUUUAUUACUGAACAGCACUUGGUUUUUUGGAUUUGAAAAUUAAGCCAUAGAGCUACAACUAAAUUCUGUUUUGCCAAACUUCACAGCACCAGCAGGCUCUGAGCAAUCAUAAGCAUUUGAAACUAGCAGGCACUGCCCCUUAACUCUGUCGCUAUCUUGGGCAUUUGAAUGAAAAAAUAUAAGUAUUACAGGAUUGGCUCUAAAAAGCCUACCAUGUGUUCUGAAUUCCUGGAAGAUAGAGCUUAUAUAAAUUACAUAAUAACAAUAUUGAUUUUUUUUUUUACUUUAGUCAUAGAUUGGCAAUACUAUAUGGCACUUUAUGAAACUAUUCCCAUGCAUAUAUUCAGUGAGUAGGAUUUGAUCUUAGCUUUCAUGAUACAGGCAGUUUCCUUUUAGUGUCAUUGAAGGGCUUUAUGCCACCUAAAAAUGUUUAAUAACAUAAAUUAUAUAUUUGCUUUAUAAGUUACAUUACUCGGCCUUUGUCACUGCUUAUCAGCAUUAACCCAUAUUUUCCAACUUGUUAAUAUUACUAAGAGAGCCCACGGAUUCUUGCUUAAUGAAGCAAGCCAAAAUUUCUUCUGAAAAAAACCCCUCAUUUUCCUCCUCAACACAAAGAAGAUUCUUAAAGGACGUAUUCAAUUAAUACUUUAAGAAAAAUAUCUACUCCCAAACAAACCAUCCCUUUACUAGGUCAGUAUUUGAUUUUCUUCUCGUUUUUUUCCUGCAGCCUGGGUAUCUUCUGGUUGCUCUUUUAUUUUCUAAAAUGGAAACUUUGGAUUGUUUGGAGGUUAACACUACAAACCAUUUGAAAUGAAAAACUUCUCUCUGUUCUAUAUUUGCCAAGGAAAGGGAGAGCUGCCCCCAGCUGAAACGCAGCAUUGAGCUCCUUUCUGUGGAGGUCAAGAGCGCCAUGCAAAUUUAUGAAAGUGGUGCUAUUUGAAUGUCUCAGUGUACCACUUUGAUAGAUCUUAGUCUAUCGCUAACAAAUAUUGUAUCGUUCUAGUAAGCGUGAUGAUAACAAUUCAUUCUCAUUACUCUGGGACGUUGGGCUUAUUCUGCUCCAUUAUAAUAGGAGCACCUACAUCCCCCACAUUCCAGCAAUAUUUAACAGGGUUCAAAGUGGCCAUCCUCAAAUACCUCUAGCCCCAUGCCUUUGUCAGAGAGACGGAAGGAAAAGAAGCAGCUCAGAGCUUAUUUAAAAGUCUUUUAUUUUAGAAAGGAAAUGAACAUUUUAAAAUAAAAUAAAUAAAGACCAUCUGGGGGUGACUGAUUUGGAUACUACUUACUUCCACUUGCUAUUGUUAUUUCUUUGGAUCUGAAAAUUAAGCCACAGAGCUACAACUAGAUUCUCAGUUUUGCCAAC
rnacentral:lncRNA from 10 species